rnacentral:rRNA from 1 species
GGCUUAGAAGCAGCCAUCAUUUAAAGAGUGCGUAAUAGCUCACUAGUCGAGUGACCCUGCGCCGAAAAUGUACCGGGGCUAAAACAUAUUACCGAAGCUGUGGAUACCUUUAUAGGUAUGGUAGGAGAGCGUUCUAUGUGCGAAGAAGGUGUACCGUGAGGAGUGCUGGAGCGCAUAGAAGUGAGAAUGCCGGUAUGAGUAGCGAAAGACAGGUGAGAAUCCUGUCCACCGUAAGACUAAGGUUUCCAGGGGAAGGCUCGUCCGCCCUGGGUUAGUCGGGACCUAAGGAGAGACCGAAAGGUGUAUCCGAUGGACAACAGGUUGAUAUUCCUGUACUAGAGUAUAUAGUGAUGGAGGGACGCAGUAGGCUAACUAAACCAGACGAUUGGAAGUGUCUGGCCAAGCAGUGAGGUGUGAUAUGAGUCAAAUGCUUAUAUCUCUAACAUUGAGCUGUGAUGGGGAGCGAAGUUUAGUAGCGAAGUUAGUGAUGUCACACUGCCGAGAAAAGCUUCUAGCGUUAAUUAUACUCUACCCGUACCGCAAACCGACACAGGUAGUCGAGGCGAGUAGCCUCAGGUGAGCGAGAGAACUCUCGUUAAGGAACUCGGCAAAAUAGCCCCGUAACUUCGGGAGAAGGGGUGCUGGUGUAAAAGCCAGCCGCAGUGAAUAGGCCCAAGCAACUGUUUAUCAAAAACACAGCUCUCUGCUAAAUCGUAAGAUGAUGUAUAGGGGGUGACGCCUGCCCGGUGCUGGAAGGUUAAGAGGAGUGCUUAGCGUAAGCGAAGGUAUGAAUUGAAGCCCCAGUAAACGGCGGCCGUAACUAUAACGGUCCUAAGGUAGCGAAAUUCCUUGUCGGGUAAGUUCCGACCCGCACGAAAGGCGUAACGAUUUGGGCACUGUCUCAACGAGAGACUCGGUGAAAUCAUAGUACCUGUGAAGAUGCAGGUUACCCGCGACAGGACGGAAAGACCCCGUGGAGCUUUACUGUAGCCUGAUAUUGAAAUUCGGCACAGCUUGUACAGGAUAGGUAGGAGCCUUUGAAACGUGAGCGCUAGCUUACGUGGAGGCGUUGGUGGGAUACUACCCUAGCUGUGUUGGCUUUCUAACCCGCACCACUUAUCGUGGUGGGAGACAGUGUCAGGCGGGCAGUUUGACUGGGGCGGUCGCCUCCUAAAAGGUAACGGAGGCGCUCAAAGGUUCCCUCAGAAUGGUUGGAAAUCAUUCAUAGAGUGUAAAGGCAUAAGGGAGCUUGACUGCGAGACCUACAAGUCGAGCAGGGUCGAAAGACGGACUUAGUGAUCCGGUGGUUCCGCAUGGAAGGGCCAUCGCUCAACGGAUAAAAGCUACCCCGGGGAUAACAGGCUUAUCUCCCCCAAGAGUUCACAUCGACGGGGAGGUUUGGCACCUCGAUGUCGGCUCAUCGCAUCCUGGGGCUGUAGUCGGUCCCAAGGGUUGGGCUGUUCGCCCAUUAAAGCGGUACGCGAGCUGGGUUCAGAACGUCGUGAGACAGUUCGGUCCCUAUCCGUCGUGGGCGUAGGAAAUUUGAGAGGAGCUGUCCUUAGUACGAGAGGACCGGGAUGGACAUACCUCUGGUGUACCAGUUGUCGUGCCAACGGCAUAGCUGGGUAGCUAUGUAUGGACGGGAUAAGUGCUGAAAGCAUCUAAGCAUGAAGCCCCCCUCAAGAUGAGAUUUCCCAACUUCGGUUAUAAGAUCCCUCGAAGAUGACGAGGUUAAUAGGUUCGAGGUGGAAGCGUGGUGACACGUGGAGCUGACGAAUACUAAUCGAUCGAAGACUUAAUC